rnacentral:rRNA from 1 species
GAUGAACGCUGGCGGCGUGCUUAACACAUGCAAGUCGAACGAGGAACACUGAUGAAGUUUUCGGAUGGAAUCGGUAUUCCGAGUGGCGGACGGGUGAGUAACGCGUGGGUAACCUGCCCUGUACAGGGGGAUAACAGUUGGAAACGACUGUUAAUACCGCAUAAGACCACAGUGCCGCAUGGCACAGGGGUAAAAACUCCGGUGGUACAGGAUGGACCCGUGUCCAAUUAGCUAGUUGGUGAGGUAACGGCCCACCAAGGCGACGAUUGGUAGCCGAUCUGAGAGGAUGACCGGCCACAUUGGGACUGAGACACGGCCCAA